AAGGUUACGACUUAACUAAAAUACUAUAGUUUAUUAUGCUAUCCACAAGACUAUAAGUAUUUUAGAGGUAAAAGUUAUGUUGAGAGUCGCAUGAGAUGCAAUUAGUAAAGAGUUACCUAUCCUUGAACUCAUAGGAGCUUGUUGUGCUAUCCACAAGAUUUUUUAUAAGAAAUUGAGAUCUCAACCCCACUAAAGAACUAAAUGAUAUAUUUUUUUAUUUUCAUACUUGAGGACUAUGAAAUUCGCUAAAAUAGUGAGAGACAUAUUUAGAUAAAAAAUCUCAUCUAAAUUGUGCAUGUCAUCAUGAA
rnacentral:lncRNA from 1 species